UCAACAUCUGUUGAUGUAGCUGGAGUUAUUGCUAUAUGGGAUCCAACUAUUAUAAAUUAAACGACAUGUUUGAGACUUGGCUAAGGACUUGUAUAAAUCCUGUACGUGCAUGCAUAAUCAAAUAACAGGAUUUUAAACACAUUUAAAUAAAGUUGUAUACCAACCUUUACUACUACACUGGAUUUCACAUGGGCAAUACAAGGCGAAUUUAGGCCAGCAAGUUUCUCGAGAAUUGAAUCACUCCUCGGGAUAACGCACAUUCUUCGCACUGAUGGGGAUUCGAGAAAACUGAUGUGCAAAAACACUGCAUUUAACCUUAAACAUUGUAAACUUGCCACUGUAAAAGAUACUUCGUAAUAAACCUCACAACAAUGUAUGUACACUGCGCUCUGCUCAGCAAAUACGGCCGCUUGGCAUGGUUGUACGUCGAAAGCAUCCAUAUUUGAUAUUUUUUAUAAUAGCCGGAACUCUUUAAACGACAGAGGUCAAAUCACGAAUGAACACCGAUUGAAAACAAGUAUAAAAUGACUGCGUGUCACGUGACCCCCCUGUCCAACCUCCUCUG